CACCCUGGAAGCACAAAGAUGUAUAAGGAUUUAAAGACUUUGUUUUGGUGGCCAUGAAUGAAAAGUGAUGUGGCAGAUUAUGUGGCUAAAUGUGAAAGGUGUCAAGUUGUUAAAGUUGAACAUCAAAAACCCAGUGGAAUGUUGCAAUCCUUACCGAUUUCAUAAUAGAAGUGGGAAGAAAUAGUCAUAAAUUUUGUUACAGGAUUUUCCAGAUCAAAACAAGGACAUAAUAGUAUAUGGGUGGUAAUUGACAAACUCACUAAGUCAGCCCAUUUUCUACCUAUCCAUCAGACUAAUUCAAUGGAGAAAUUGGCCAAAUUAUUUGUGAAAGAAAUCAUUAUAUUACAUGGAAUCCCUAAGGUUAUUGUAUCAGAUGGAGAUGGUCGUUUCACAUCUAAGUUAUGAAAAAGCACACAUGCAAGUUUUGGCACAAAAUUGAAAUUCAACACUGCAUUUCAUCCUCAGACAGAUGGUUAAUCAGAAAGGUUGAUUCAAGUGUUGGAAGAUUUGUUAAGAUUGUGUAUCCUACAUUUUGGAGGUAGCUUGGAGGAUCACAUUUUAUUAAUAGAAUUCACUUAUAAUAAUAGCUACCAAUCCAGUAUCAAGAUGGCUCCCUAUGAAGCUUUAUAUGGCAGAAAAUGCAGAACUCCUUUAAGCUGGUUUGAAGUGGGGAAAAGGCAAAUAUUAGGUCCACAGUUGGUAGACCAGGCGAUAGAGAAGGUCAGACUCAUUAGAGACAGAUUAAAAGCAACUCAAAACCGCCAACAUAAAUAUUAUUAUUCCAAGCAUAGAAUGGAAGAAUUUGAAGUGGGAGAUUUUGUAUUUUUGAAAGUUAGACCAAUGAAGUGUGUUUCUAGAUUUGGCCAAAGUGGAAAACUCAAUCCUAGAUUCAUUUGGCCAUUUGAAAUUAUUGAAAGAGUAUGAACAGUAGUUUACAAGCUAGCAUUACCUAUAGACAUGUCUGAUAUCCACAAUGUUUUUCAUGUCUCAAUGCUCAGAAAGUGGGUUACAAAUGAAAGUCAAAGAGUUUCUCAUAAGGACAUUGAACUUCAGAAGAAUAUGACCUUUAUAGAAGAACCUGAAAGGAUAUUAGAAAGGGAUAUUCGGAAAUUGAGUAGCAAAAUUAUUCCUUUUGUUAAGAUAAAAUAGAAGCACAACUCAGUUAAAAAUGCUACUUGGGAAAAAGAGGCUGUAGUGAGACACAAAUUUCCUCACCUAUUUGAUGAUGUAUGAAAAGUUGAAUUUCGGGGAUGAAAUUCUAUUAAGGAUGGAAGAAUUGUAACAACUCAAAUUCUGGUAAAAGAAAUUCAAACCCUUAUUUAAAUAAAGCUUAUGUACUAUUAAAUAAAAUCAACUGAAUAUUAAUGCAAAUAUUAAUUUUUCUGAAUAUAUGUGUUUAUUGGUGAGGAUAAAGAGAAUAGCAGUUGUUGAGUGGGGUCCACUCCAUCUUAUCAUUUAGUGCGGGAUUAUUGAAUGGGAUAAGGAUUUAAUAUCUCCCCUGUAGCAAAAUUCGGUUCUACACUCUCACCCGAGACUGUAGAGGAUUUCGCUAUUCCUGUAUAGGAAAUCCGCAGCUUUCCUUCAGGAAGAGGCGGAACAGGUUGGCUGAAGCAAGAGGCGGAAUAAGCUGGCUGAAGCAAGAGGCAAUAGACUCUGGCUGAAGCAAGAGGCGGAACUGGUUGGAGUAGGAAGCAGAAGUUGGGUUUGGAAAUAGCAACUGCGGGCUGAAGGAGUAUAAGAAAUUCAUCAUUUCAGAAUCCGUUUGAUUUCUAAGUGAGAAGGAAGUGAGAACAAUGAACGAAGAAUAAAACUUGAAGAAAAGAAAAUCAAGUGUCAUAGAUCAAUUUGAUCAUAUGCAAGAGAGAGCUUUGAAGUGACUUACCAUCAAAGAAGAUUUCAAGGUGGAGGAUUGGAGGAAAUUCCUCGUUCAAGAAAGAAAAGGAAAAGAAAAUGUGGAAGAUGUUUGAUAUGCAAGUAUUUAUGUUUUAUGUUAAUGUUUAUUUUAUAUUUGGAAAUCUACUCUUGAGGUUAGUAAGUCGUUUUAAUGGUUUUGGACUUCCUUAAUGGCUCUGUAUUAAGUAUUUGAUGUGAUGAAAUUUGGGAACUAUUAGAUGCUUCCUUUGUUGUAUUAAUUGAUGUUUAUAUUAUCUUUUAUAUAGAUUUGAAAUGAUAUGUUAUGAUUUAAUGAGUUCAAUAUUGUAAUUAUUCAUGUUAUGUUUUUUUUAAAUUGUUAAUAUUAGUUAUUAAUUAAUUUCUGCUUAACUUGCUGAGUCUCACCACUCACCAGUACUUUUCUUACUGAUUGUUUUUACAGGAAAAGGAAAAGAAAAUGUGGAAGAAGUUUGAUAUGCAAGUAUUUAAGUUUUAUAUUAAUGUUUAUUUUAUAUUUGGAAAUCUACUCUUGAGGUUAGUAAGUCGUUUUAAUGUUCUAAUAGUUUGAAUGGUUUUGGACUUCCUUAGUGGCUCUAUAUUAAGUCUUUGAUGUAAGGAAAUUUGGGAACUAUUAGAUGCUUCCUUUGUUGUAUUAAUUGAUGUUUAUAUGAUCUUUUAUAUAGAUUUGAAAUGAUAUGUUAUGAUUUUAUGGCUGUUCUUGUGACACUCUACAAUACUAUUAAGGAGUAUUGUGGGGUGUUAUAAUUUCCCUAUUCAACUGGAUCUUGAUCGAUUUUUCCCCGAUUCAAAGCCUAAGCCGUUUAUUUCAACUAACCGGACCGCCCGCCAAACCUGUUCACGGUUGAGCUGGUAGAACCAGCUGGUCCAGUCUAAUUUUGAAAACCUUGCUAAAAGAAUUAUAAAGAUUGUGUUUUGGAUUUUGGAGGUAGAUGAGAAGAUCACAUACCAUUGAAUGAGUUUACCUAUAAUAAUAGCUACCAAUCAAUUAUCAAGAUGGCACCAUAUGAAGUAUUGUAUGGUAGAAAAUGUAGAACUCCGUUGAGUUAGUUUUAAAUUGAUGAAAGGAAAUUAUUGGGUCCGCGGUUAGUAAUAUCAAGCUACUGAAAAGGUCAAAUCAGUUAGAGACAUUAAAAGCAACACAGUACCGUCAGCAGAAAUACUAUAAUCACAAGCAUAAAAUGAUAAAAUUUGAUGUUGGAGAUUUUGUGCUCUUAAAGGUUAGACCAAUGGAAUGUGUUUCUAGAUUUGGUCAAGGUGAAAAAUUCAGCUCAAGUUAUAUUAGCCUAUUUGAGAUCAUUAAAAGAGUGGGACAAGUUGCUUAUAAGCUAUCAUUACCUUCAGAUAUAUUUGAUGUGCAUAAUGUUUAUCACGUGUGAAUGCUUAGAAAAUGGGUUACAAAUGAAAUUAGAGAGUUCUUCAUAAUGAAAUUGAACUUCAAAAUAAUUCGACAUAUGUAGAGUAACCUAAAAUGAUAUUGAAAAGGGAUGUUCGAUAAAUUGAGAAGCAGAGUAAUUCCUUUUGUGAAAAUUAAAUAGAAGCAUAGGUCAAUAGAGUAAGAUACAUGAGAAAAAAGAUAGACAUGAAUCAGAAGUUUCCUUACCAGUUUGAAGAAGUAUGAAAAUUUGAAUUUUGGGAACGAAAUUUUAAUGAGGGAAGAAUUAUAA